UGGCCAGAAUCAGUCCUACAGCGUAAAGUGCAGAUAACUAAGUGAUAUUUUGCUAUUUUGCAAGAGAGUUUAGGUGGAAAGAGAAAUCUUCCAACAGUUUGCUCCAGAUUAUGGCUUAACUUGACGGAGAGGUGCAUUGUUUCUUUUCCACUUUUUCCUUUGUGGUUCAGCCAUCAGGCCUACCCAGUGGCCCAAGUGAAGCUGCCGUGGAAGAAGAAAGCCGGCCAUCCAUGGAUUUAUUUAAAGCCAUCUUUGCCAGUUCCUCGGAUGAGAAUUCCUCUUCUGAAGAAGAGAGUGAGGGAGAGGAGCCAGCUGCGACAGCCCUGGAAGGAGAGUCCAAAAACCCAAAGCUCUGCGACUCACCUGAGGUUCCAUUACCUGUUGCUCAAGAAACUGAAGCUACACCUGAGAUUUUUGAUACUAUAACUCCAACCUCAAAGGAAGUAGUUGAUCAAGGAGAAUUUGGACCAAGAUUGCCUCCUGUUGCUUAUUCUGGCACAGCUGAAGUGGUGGCAGAACAGAAGCCCCCAAAGAUCAAAGAAAAACACAAGAGGAAAGAACACAAACACAAAAAGGAAAAGGUAAAGAAAAAGAAACACAAGAAAUCCAAACACAAGGGCAAGCACAAGAACAAGAAAUCUGAGAAGAACAGCAGCUCAGACACAGCUGAGAGCAGAGACAGCAGCAGCGAGGAAGGAAAGACGAAUAUAUCACCCCAGGAACUUUUAAGAAGGAUGAAGAAUUUUCCACUUGUAAAGUGGUAGCUUGGGUUGCAUUUUUGGACUCAAAACAGAUCUCCUCUAUGAUGGCAGAUCAUCUAUAUAAAGCAUUGUUAAUGUCCUGUAAAUACAGUAUUUGUCUUGGAUUUGUUUAUUUCUUUUAAUUUUGAAGUUUAAAAAGAAAAAACCAAAAUUCUGCACAGUGCAAAAGAUUCUAUUCCGCGAGAGACAAUGAAAAUGCUGCAUUUUAAUGAUAAAAAGCACGAGAAAAAUUUAAAUAAACUGCAUUUACUGAUCUUUCAC
rnacentral:lncRNA from 1 species